AACGAACGCUGGCGGCAGGCCUAACACAUGCAAGUCGAGCGAGGACUUCGGUUCUAGCGGCGGACGGGUGAGUAACGCGUGGGAACGUGCCCCUUGGUACGGAAUAGCCCCGGGAAACUGGGAGUAAUACCGUAUGAGCUCUACGGAGGAAAGAUUUAUCGCCAAGGGAUCGGCCCGCGUUGGAUUAGGUAGUUGGUGGGGUAAUGGCCUACCAAGCCGACGAUCCAUAGCUGGUUUGAGAGGAUGAUCUGCCACACUGGGACUGAGACACGGCCCAGACUCCUACGGGAGGCAGCAGUGGGGAAUCUUAGACAAUGGGCGCAAGCCUGAUCUAGCCAUGCCGCGUGAGCGAUGAAGGCCUUAGGGUUGUAAAGCUCUUUCAGCUGGGAAGAUAAUGACUGUACCAGCAGAAGAAGCCCCGGCUAACUCCGUGCCAGCCGCCGCGGUAACAC
rnacentral:rRNA from 1 species